AAGUCGUAACAAGGUUUCCGUAGGUGAACCUGCGGAAGGAUCAUUACCGCCGGGAGUCCGCUCCUGACCGGGAUAGCACCCUUGCCUUUGAGUACCUUUUCGUUUCCUCGGUGGGCUCGCCUGCCGGUGGACAACCUUCAAAACCUUUUGUAAUAGCAGUAUCUUCUGAAAAAACACAAAUAGUCAAAACUUUCAACAACGGAUCUCUUGGUUCUG
rnacentral:misc_RNA from 1 species